AGGGUUCGAUUCUGGCUCAGGAUGAACGCUGGCGGCGUGCUUAACACAUGCAAGUCGAACGAAGCACUUUGGACAGAUUCUUCGGAUGAAGUCCUUAGUGACUGAGUGGCGGACGGGUGAGUAACGCGUGGGUAACCUGCCUUAUACCGGGGGAUAACAGCCAGAAAUGGCUGCUAAUACCGCAUAAGCGCACAGAACCGCAUGGUUCCGUGUGAAAAACUCCGGUGGUAUAAGAUGGACCCGCGUUGGAUUAGCUAGUUGGCAGGGCAGCGGCCUACCAAGGCGACGAUCCAUAGCCGGCCUGAGAGGGUGAACGGCCACAUUGGGACUGAGACACGGCCCAG
rnacentral:rRNA from 1 species